UGCGGGAUCGUCCAACGGUAGGACGGCGGCCCUUGGAGCCGCCUAUGCGGGUUCGAGUCCUGCUCCCGCAG
rnacentral:tRNA from 1 species